ACCCCCUCAGGAUCGCACCUAGAGAGUUUCUAGUACACUACCAGUCUUGGCUAUGGGAGGGAGAGUCAAGCAGAGGCAUAUCCAUUCCAUUCCUAGCUUGGCCAGUGGCUAGCAAGUGGAAGAAAAUCUGCUACAAGU